rnacentral:rRNA from 1 species
AGAACGCUGGCGGUAGGCCUAACACAUGCAAGUCGAACGGCAGCACAGGAGAGCUUGCUCUCUGGGUGGCGAGUGGCGGACGGGUGAGGAAUACAUCGGAAUCUACCUUUUCGUGGGGGAUAACGUAGGGAAACUUACGCUAAUACCGCAUACGACCUACGGGUGAAAGUGGGGGACCGCAAGGCCUCACGCGAUUAGAUGAGCCGAUGUCCGAUUAGCUAGUUGGCGGGGUAAUGGCCCACCAAGGCGACGAUCGGUAGCUGGUCUGAGAGGAUGAUCAGCCACACUGGAACUGAGACACGGUCCAGACUCCUACGGGAGGCAGCAGUGGGGAAUAUUGGACAAUGGGCGCAAGCCUGAUCCAGCCAUACCGCGUGGGUGAAGAAGGCCUUCGGGUUGUAAAGCCCUUUUGUUGGGAAAGAAAUCCUAUCGGUUAAUAACCGGUGGGGAUGACGGUACCCAAAGAAUAAGCACCGGCUAACUUCGUGCCAGCAGCCGCGGUAAUACGAAGGGUGCAAGCGUUACUCGGAAUUACUGGGCGUAAAGCGUGCGUAGGUGGUGGUU